ACCUCGGCUUGUUACUUUGUAAUAAAAUAUAUUUGACAAGUUCACAAGUUCCUGUAUCUGAGAAAUAUUAUUGAGCGAAUAUUUCUACGACAGUACAUUCAUAUUUUAUUGUUUAUUUAGCUAGCUAAUAUUUAGUAAAACAGUUGUAGCCUGCCAGGAUAUUGAGCAAGAUGGCCAGCUAGCUAGCCAGCAACAGUCACGAGCUCCAUCUUCGAAUCUAGCCUGUUGACAGAGAUGUUCCUCAGGAAACCAACUGUGGCUGCGCAAUAUACGGGAGAGAAACUGAAACGGCUGCUUGAGCAGUGGUCAUCUGGCCAUGGUGAGUGUCGUUAUAAAAUUAUGGUACAGAGGUGCGACUUGAGGCUGUGGACCUAUUGAAAGCUAUUUGUGAGCAGAGCUUCAGAUUCAUUGCCUUCAUGGUCCACAAAGUCCUCAGUCUGCUUGACCCCUUUAACAAGUUACUUCAGGUUGAAGCAACUGAUCUGUACACUGGCAUCUGAGUCGUCCGCUGUGCCCACAACUGCAACGUGACAGUGAGUUUGAUGAGUUAUGGGAGAAAUACAAUCACACGGAUACCCCGCUCCAAGCAAACGGCAAAGAGCAGUAAGUAGUAAUCUAAAAGAAUAUGUGGUCGAAACAACAAUGGGUCAGCAAGAAGAGGUUAUAAUGAGAAGGAGUGCAAAAUACUGUUUUUCAGCACUCUGGGUGCUGUACAGGGAGAAAUGUCAGCAAGAUUUAACGAACAAAACAGCCAACUUGUUGAGACCCUAUGUGCCUUGCACCCAGAGAAUGAAACCUUUAUGGAAUGUGGAAAAUGUGAAACCACUGCUGGACUUAAUCUCAGGAGACUGUGGAAGCUGAGUUUACUGUCACAUGCUAGUUUCUACAGAAUGAAAUCGCCCGAUCUGGAGAAGAAAAAUGGAGUACGCAGAGCAUUUUGGAUAGAACACCUAUGGCAACAUGCGAGAACUCUUUGUCAACAUUGAAAAACGUAUUCAGUGAGCACAGACAAUGUUGCACAGGCGCAGCUGAUUCAACUGGCAUUUGAGAGGGAUCUUACAAGCAAAUUCUGUGGGGAGUGGAAAGAGAGACUGCUGAGCAGGUUCAACACAGCAUCAAGGCGGCUGCAACUCUUUUGAAUCUGGGUAAGAACAGGUUGGCUGGACUGUGAAGGUGAACGGAAAGGCACUAGAGCCACAAACCGCCCUUGCUGUCUCUGGGUUGAGUCACUGACGUGAUCUUUCUGUCCGGGUUGGCACUCCCCUUGGUUGUGCAGUUGGGGAGAUCUUUGUGGUCGUACUCGGCCUUGUCUCAGGAUGGUAAGUUGGUGGUUGGAGAUAUCCCUCUAGUGGUGUGGGGGCUGUGCUUUGGCAAAGUGGGUGGGGUUAUAUCCUGCCUGUUUGGCCUUGUCCGGGGGCAUCGUAGGACGGGGCCACAGUGUCUCCUGACCCCUCCUGUCUCAGCCUCCAGUAUUUAUGCUGCAAUAGUUUGUGUCGGGGGUCUAGGGUCAGUUUGUUAUAUCUGGAGAAUUUAUCCUGUCUUAUCCGGUGUCCUGUGUGAAUUUAAGUGUGCUCUCUAAAUUCUUUAUUUUUCUCUUUCUUUCUUUCUUCUUUUCUUUCUUUCUUUCUUUCUUUCUUUCUUUCUUUCUUUCUUUCUUUCUUUCUUUCUUUCUUUCUUUCUUUCUUUCUUUCUUUCUUUCUUUCUUUCUCGGAGGGCCUGAGCCCUAGGACCAUGCCUCAGGACUACCUGGCAUGAUGUCUCCUUGCUGUCCACGGUCCACCUAGUCGUGCUGCUGCUCCAGUUUCAACUGUUCAGCCUGCGGCUAUGGAACCCUGACCUGUUCACCGGACGUGCUACCUGUCCCAGACCUGCUGUUUUCAACUCUCUAGAGACAGCAGGAGCGGUAGAGAUACUCUCAAUGAUCGGCUAUGAAAAGCUAACUGACACUUACUCCUGAGAUGCUGUUGCACCGUCUACAACCACUGUGAUUAUUAUUAUUUUAACCUGCUGGUCAUCUAUGAACAUUUGAACAUCGUGGCCAUGUUCUGUUAUAAUUUCCAUCCGGCACAGCCAGAAGAGUACUGGUUCCUCUCUAGGUUUCUUCCUAGGUUUUGGCCUUUCUAGGGAGUUUUUCCUAGCCACCGUUUUUCUACACCUGCAUUGCUUGCUGUUUGGGGUUUUAGGCUGGGUUUCUGUACAACACUUUGUGGCAUCAGCUGAUGUAAGAAGGGCUUUAUAAAUAAAUUUGAUUUGUAAUAUUUUGUUAUUUGCUAGCUUCUGGAAAUGCGUGGCAAAUGUCAGAAAUAGGCGUAGACGUGAUUUCUUUAUUGGCGUUGCUGCCAAGUAUACUGCUUGAUUUCUGUGAUUGGAAAUGUUUGGUUUAUAAUAAAAUCAGAUUGUUUUGAA